UACGUAGGUGGCAAGCGUUGUCCGGAUUUAUUGGGUUUAAAGGGUGCGUAGGCGGCUUUGUAAGUCAGUGGUGAAAUAUGGCAGCUUAACUGUCAAGGUGCCAUUGAUACUGCAGAGCUUGAGUACAGAUGAGGUAGGCGGAAUUGACGGUGUAGCGGUGAAAUGCUUAGAUAUCGUCAAGAACACCUAUAGCGAAGGCAGCUUACUAAGCUGUAACUGACGCUGAGGCACGAAAAGUGUGGGGGAUCAAAACAGG
rnacentral:rRNA from 1 species